rnacentral:rRNA from 1 species
UACGUAGGGUGCGAGCGGUAAUCGGAAUUACUGGGCGUAAAGCGUGCGCAGGCGGUUUUGUAAGACAAGAGUGAAAUCCCCGGGCUUAACCUGGGAACUGCAUUUGUGACUGCAAGGCUAGAGUGCGGCAGAGGGGGGUAGAAUUCCACGUGUAGCAGUGAAAUGCGUAGAGAUGUGGAGGAAUACCGAUGGCGAAGGCAGCCCCCUGGGUCGACACUGACGCUCAUGCACGAAAGCGUGGGGAGCAAACAGG